rnacentral:lncRNA from 1 species
CACUUCCCACCUAGCCCAUUGCAGGUUAUUAGUCUUGGAUCAGAGAGGCAAUACUACGAUGUAAAAGGGGAGGAAACAGGAGGUGGUGGUGACGGUGGUUUGGAAAUAUUCACCAGCCGGUAUGGAUCUAAGCCAUGGUCGUGAACAGCGAGAACCUACAGAUGUCCAAGAUGUUUCAGCUGAUGGCAAUUCUAAUACAUCCCAUGAAAUGGAAAAUAUGGACAAUGGAGAUGACAGAAAGGAAUAUCGUUUGAGUAAUGGCGGAGAGCGAGAAGGUAAAGUGGAAAUUGUUUACUUAAAGCUAAUCAUUUGGUGAAGCAACCUAUGCCACAAAGGGUUGCUGCUUUAAUUGAACCAAUCAAACAACUUCCCACAUUACUGUAAAAAAAUGCCCCUAAUUAAAUUGGAAAUCUUUACUUCUUUUUCACUUUCUGAACUAGCACCUGAUACUUUCUUUUUCUUGCCCACUACUUGAGGAAGAAGGAUUUAUGGUUGGGAGGUUCAGAAUUCUCUUCUAAGUGGAGAAGAGAAAGAGUUAUUUCAGCAAGGGAAAAGGACAAGCCAGCCUUUAGUUGUUGAAGAAAUCAACUAAAUUCAGGUAAAACUCCAGCUUGUGAAUCAUCUGAUUUGGGCUAUGCCAAAAGCCACUCUCAAGCCUUUUCUAUACCACCUAGAUGAAAAUGAGGCAAAAAUCAGAUUAUAUGCUGCAGGUAACACCUUUGAUCAGAGGAGAGAAU